rnacentral:rRNA from 1 species
GUGAGGAAUCUUCCACAAUGGGCGAAAGCCUGAUGGAGCAACGCCGCGUGAAGGAUGAAGGUCUUCGGAUUGUAAACUUCUUUUAUGAGUGAAGAAUAUGACGGUAACUCAUGAAUAAGCACCGGCUAACUACGUGCCAGCAGCCGCGGUCAUACGUAGGGUGCAUGCAUUAUCCGGAGUGACUGGGCGUAAAGAGUUGCGUAGGCGGUUAUGUAAGCGAAUAGUGAAACCUGGUGGCUCAACCACACAGACUAUUAUUCGAACUGCAUAACUGUGGGAUGGAAGAGGUAACUGGAAUUUCUUGUGUAGGAGUUAAAUCCGUAGAUAUAAGAAGGAACACCAAUGGCGUAGGCAGGUUACUGGGCCAUUUCUGACGCUAAGGCACGAAAGCGUGGGGAGCGAACCGGAUUAGAUACCCUGGUAGUCC